AGAGAGAGACAUGCGCGCAUAUCAAUAAGCGGAGGAAAAGAAACUAACAAGGAUUCCCCUAGUAACGGCGAGUGAAGCGGGAAGAGCUCAAAUUUGAAAUCUUAAAGGGUUUCCCUUUACGAAUUGUAGUUUAAAGAAGUGUUUUCUGUUGAGGUUUUGGUAAAAGUUCUUUGGAAUAGGACAUCAUAGAGGGUGAGAAUCCCGUAUUUGACCUUUACUUUCAACUUUGUGAUACACUUUCAAAGAGAUCGGAUUGUUUGGGAAUGCAGUCCAAAAUGGGUGGUAAAUUUCAUCUAAAGCUAAAUAUUGGCGAGAGACCGAUAGCGAACAAGUACCGUGAGGGAAAGAUGAAAAGAACUUUGAAAAGAGAGUUAAACAGUACGUGAAAUUGUCAAAAGGGAAGCGUUUGACACCAGUGUUGUUUUUCUGAAAAUCAAUUAAAGAACUGUUUAUGCUAAGCUGUUUAGACUUUAUCAGCUAUACUGUUUAGUUUUGAGCUUUUCUUUAAUGCACUUUUCAGUUAACAAGUCAACAUCAAUUUCUUUUGCUGUAAAAAAGCUUGAGGAAGGUGGCUUGAGAUUCGUCUUAAGUGUUUAUAGCCUCUUGCCUAUGCAGUCGGAGAGAUUGAGGUCUGCAGCGUAGGAUCCUUCGGGGCUAAAUGCAUUUGUGCUAAGUUAUAGCAUUUUAUAGACAACUUGUUGACUAUGAUUUGUCUUGUAGCUUACUCGCUUAUGUUAUUUUACCUACGCUUAGGAUGUUGACGCAUGAGAUAUACGC
rnacentral:rRNA from 1 species